rnacentral:lncRNA from 1 species
GUAAAUUCAUAAGUUGUAUCUUUGAUUAUUAAUUUUAUCUUAGUAUACCAUUUAUGGGAUAUCAUUUUUUCUAUUUUAUUAAUGUAGAUUUCUUCUUCGUGUUCUUUGCUAGAAGUAGUAGCUCGUAAUCUAUUUUGCUCUUGGAUAAUCAUGGUUCCUUGUAUUUCUAGAAGUUUUACCUCUAGCUCAUCAUCUCUAGUUUUUAAUGUUCUAAUCUCAUUUUUGAGAAUCG